AUACAAAGGCUUGGCUUAUACUGCAAAGUUUGGGAUCCACAGUCUACAAAACCCCACAGCUCCUGAGAAUUCUCUCGCCUGCUUUCGACCCUUAGGCUCUGGUAGAUUGCAAAUAACCUGCUUUCUUUCUGUUCCCGGGCGGCGUGGGACCCCUGUCGGAUAGUCAAUCCCAAUUAAGGCUCUGGUAGAUUGCAAAUGACCUGCUUACUUUCUGUUCCCGGGCUGCGUUCUGACACCUGUUGGACAGUAAAUCCCAAGAUAACUUCAGGAAGUGGGUAUUAAUUCUCACUGUAUAAGUGAAGACAUUAAGCACCAGAGUUUAAGUAGCUUGGUAAGUGUUAUUCCAGUAAUUAAAUAGGCAUAAAUAGAGUUCAACUUUCUCAGUUCUAUCUAUAAUUUCUCUCUAUGUAUGGGCUUAUUUAUAUCAACCAGUAUACACCUUGGUUUUGG
rnacentral:lncRNA from 1 species